rnacentral:snRNA from 1 species
GGAUGUGAGGGCGAUCUGGCUGGCUAGGCGGGUGUCCCCUGCCUCCCUCACCACUCCAUGUGCAACCCUCCUGAAGCUGCGUGCUCGGUCGAAGAGGAUGGCCUUCCCCAAAUAAAAAGGCCCAAGAAACA